ensembl:lncRNA
CUAGGGGUUACAUACGUGGAGUUGAAUAAGAUUUUAAUUUUAUUUUCUUUACUCCUAGAGCUCGCCCCAUUCCCUCCAAUAUACACAUAACUCUGCCCCCAGAACAUCACUUUUAAGCACACUUAUAUAACUAAUAUAACUAUAACUAAUAUAACUAUAUAUAAUUAUACAUAAUUAAUUAUAUACUAAUUAUAUAUAAGAGGAAUGAGAAUCGGGACCAGCUGAAAGCUCCUGGGUGUUAAAUGCCAGAUUAAAUAAUCCACGUUGUCUUUUUCAUAGUAUUGUCAUUAAAGGAUCGUAAAACUGUGGGCUAAUGCAGUGUGAAAAUAUCACACUGAAAUGUGUAUGGUGUUCAUGCGGACAGCUCGAAAACACUCCAUCAGCCUAUAGGAUGACCUGUUAGCCCGGUGCUGCUAAACACACAGAUUUACAUUUACACCCACGUAACCUAACUGUAGAACAAUUCCUUCAUUCUCUACAAUCUUUCCUGUCACAGUCUUACAGCUGAAUAUAUUCAGCGCAGUGUUAAAUCUCCAGUCAAUCACACUGACACUCACUGACACGGUUUCACUUCAGUCUCCGGUCUAACCUGGAAGACGUACCUGUCACAAUGAGGAUGUAUAUAUGAAUGUCUUCCUCGUUCUUCCGGUCCCGGAUGGUGUAACUUCCGCCAUCGGACAUAUUCACGUCUGUCAGCGUGAUGUUGGGGUGACUGAGUGAUGCUCUGUGUGUGUAUUCAGGUUUACAGUGGAGUGAGCGGUGAGCCACUGUACAGAUCUGUUCGCCGUAUAAAUCACUCGAAUCGAUGGGCUUAUAAGUCACCUCCACUGGAUCCGGUACGGGCAAAUCCAUCACCAGAGCCUCCCCAGGGGUUAACCGAACUGAGGACUUCAACGCUGCAGAGGAAAAACAAAACAAGGAAACUCAACUGUGAGUAAAUCUUACAACAAAAAAACCCACAUUAAAUCUGAAUGAACGAAACUGAGGCUUAGGAAAACUUACUAUCGAUGACGAGACGCACAUCACAGGCCUUCUCACCGUCACAAUUACACAUGUAUAAGCCUCGCUUACUGAAAUCUACUGCAGUGAUGGUGAGAUACUGAUUCCCCUUCAGGUACUCAUCAUGAGGCGUGUCAUAUCCCUUCUCUGACCUGCAGGACAUCUGAUCACACCGAGCCAGAACAUGGGUUGAAUUAUGGACCAUGGACCAUUUGAUCACACCAGAACAUUUGGAUUUACAUGGGAGUUUAGCAGACUGAUGAAGCUUCACGGUUACAGAGGUCAAGUCCAGUGUAGGAUGGUACUCACUGCCAACACAGUUCUACACAGGAAACCUGCAGACUACAUGGCUAAAAGUAUGUACACCCGUGUCCAUCACACCCAUAUGUGUGUAUAUAUUAUUCUCCAAACUGUUACCACAAACUCUGAAGCACACAAUUGUGUAGAACGUCUCUGUACGCUGUAGCGUUACGGUUCCCCUUCACCGGAACGGAGUCCCAAACAUGUUCCAGCGAGACACACAGUGCACAAAGCGAGCUCUAUGAACACCUGGUGUGUGAACGUUGGAAGAAGCUAGAAGAACUCGAGUGUCCUGUACAGAACCCUGACCUCAACCCCAUUACCGCUCUUAUAGCUGAAUGAACACAAAUCCCCACGGCCACGCCCCAAAAAUCACACAUACCAGUGGUGAAGGUGAGGGUGAGGAAGAACAGGACGCGGUGAUGAAAGCUACAGGACUGCAUGGUGGAGGACACAAGACACCACCAUCAGUACCGCACAGGUGGAGACAAGUGGAGAAAACCAGGAGAUCUCCACUCUUCCUAUAGAAACGUAAUAAAUGUAAUAAUGAAGAAGAAGAAGAAGAAGAAGAGGAGCGUGAAGCUGUAAUGAUGGAGGAGAGGAGCAGUAUAUAAACCCAAUAAACUCUGCCCUGCCAUACUGUCUGCCACAGCACUCUCAAACAACACUACAUCAGAAAACACACACACACACACACACACACACACACUUCAGAAAAGGAGUUAAAUGUUACGUAACAUUGUGUGUAUCAUGUAGUAAAACAUUUCAAACAAGUAAAAUCUCCCACAUGCAAUAACCUCAUCAAAUGUACCCAAUGUUUAACGUUAGCUUGUGUGUGGAGACCAUACGUAACCUGUGUAGGAGUAAAACCUCAGAACCUCAUCAUACUGAUGAUGAUGUGUGUGUGUGUGUGUGUGUGUGUGUGUGUGUGUGUGUGUGUGCUGGACCCGUGCAGAUAUGGCUUUAUAUUAACUAAAAAGACUGGAAAACCAACAGAGACACAAAUUCAAACACAAAGGGCAGGACAG